rnacentral:rRNA from 1 species
CUCAGGAUGAACGCUGGCGGCGUGCUUAACACAUGCAAGUCGAACGAUGACCCCGUGCUUGCACGGGUGAUUAGUGGCGAACGGGUGAGUAACACGUGAGUAACCUGCCCCCGACUUUGGGAUAAGCCCGGGAAACUGGGUCUAAUACCGGAUAUGACUUCUUACCGCAUGGUGGGUUGUUGAAAGAUUUAUCGGUGGGGGAUGGACUCGCGGCCUAUCAGCUUGUUGGUGAGGUAAUGGCUCACCAAGGCGACGACGGGUAGCCGGCCUGAGAGGGUGACCGGCCACACUGGGACUGAGACACGGCCCAGACUCCUACGGGAGGCAGCAGUGGGGAAUAUUGCACAAUGGCGAAAGCUGGAUGCAGCGACGCCGCGUGAGGGAUGACGGCCUUCGGGUUGUAAACCUCUUUCAGUAGGGAAGAAGCGAAAGUGACGGUACCUGCAGAAGAAGCGCCGGCUAACUACGUGCCAGCAGCCGCGGUAAUACGUAGGGCGCAAGCGUUAUCCGGAUUUAUUGGGCGUAAAGAGCUCGUAGGCGGUUUGUCGCGUCUGCCGUGAAAGUCCGAGGCUCAACCUCGGAUCUGCGGUGGGUACGGGCAGACUAGAGUGAUGUAGGGGAGACUGGAAUUCCUGGUGUAGCGGUGAAAUGCGCAGAUAUCAGGAGGAACACCGAUGGCGAAGGCAGGUCUCUGGGCAUUUACUGACGCUGAGGAGCGAAAGAAUGGGGAGCGAACAGGAUUAGAUACCCUGGUAGUCCAUGCCGUAAACGUUGGGCACUAGGUGUGGGGGACAUUCCACGUUUUCCGCGCCGUAGCUAACGCAUUAAGUGCCCCGCCUGGGGAGUACGGCCGCAAAGUUAAAACUCAAAGGAAUUGACGGGGGCCCGCACAAGCGGCGGAGCAUGCGGAUUAAUUCGAUGCAACGCGAAGAACCUUACCAAGGCUUGACAUGUGCCAGACCGCCUCAGAGAUGGGGUGUUCUUCGGGGCCUGGUUCACAGGUGGUGCAUGGUUGUCGUCAGCUCGUGUCGUGAGAUGUUGGGUUAAGUCCCGCAACGAGCGCAACCCUCGUUCCAUGUUGCCAGCACGUAGUGGUGGGGACUCAUGGGAGACUGCCGGGGUCAACUCGGAGGAAGGUGGGGAUGACGUCAAAUCAUCAUGCCCCUUAUGUCUUGGGCUUCACGCAUGCUACAAUGGCCGGUACAAUGGGUUGCGAUACUGUGAGGUGGAGCUAAUCCCUAAAAGCCGGUCUCAGUUCGGAUUGGGGUCUGCCACUCGACCCCAUGAAGUCGGAGUCGCUAGUAAUCG